rnacentral:rRNA from 1 species
UGCGUAGGGCGCAAGCGUUAUCCGGAAUUAUUGGGCGUAAAGAGCUCGUAGGCGGCUUGUCACGUCGGGUGUGAAAGCCCGGGGCUUAACCCCGGGUCUGCAUUCGAUACGGGCUAGCUAGAGUGUGGUAGGGGAGAUCGGAAUUCCUGGUGUAGCGGUGAAAUGCGCAGAUAUCAGGAGGAACACCGGUGGCGAAGGCGGGUCUCUGGGCCGAUACUGACGCUGAGGAGCGAAAGCGUGGGGAGCGAACAGG